CGGGGUGCACCAGGCGCGAAAACUUUACAAUGCUGGAAACAGCGAUAAGGGGACCUCGAGUGCCAGGUUACAAAUCUGGCUGUCGUGAUGCCUAAAAAGCAUUGCAUAGCAAGGGCCGGGCAAGACCGGUGCCAGCCGCCGCGGUAACACCGGCGGCUCGAGUGGUAACCGUUAUUAUUGGGUCUAAAGGGUCCGUAGCCGGCCGGAUAAGUCUCUUGGGAAAUCCAGCAGCUCAACUGUUGGGCUUUCAGGAGAUACUGUCUGGCUCGAGGCCGGGAGAGGUGAGAGGUACUUCAGGGGUAGGGGUGAAAUCUUGUAAUCCUUGAAGGACCACCAGUGGCGAAGGCGUCUCACCAGAACGGACCUGACGGCAAGGGACGAAAGCUAGGGGCACGAACCGGAUUAGAUACCCGGGUAGUCCUAGCCGUAAACGAUACUCGCUAGGUGUCGGCCACGGUGCGACCGUUGUCGGUGCCGUAGGGAAGCCGUGAAGCGAGCCACCUGGGAAGUACGGCCGCAAGGCUGAAACUUAAAGGAAUUGGCGGGGGAGCAC
rnacentral:rRNA from 1 species